rnacentral:tRNA from 1 species
GGGAAGGUGGCCCAGUGGUAGAGUGCUUGUCUUGCAUUCAUGAGGCCCUGGGUUCAAUUCCUCCAUACCA